rnacentral:rRNA from 1 species
CUAAGGCUAAAUACUCUCUAGUGACCGAUAGUGAACCAGUACCGUGAGGGAAAGGUGAAAAGCACCCCGGAAGGGGAGUGAAAUAGAACCUGAAACCGUGUGCUUACAAGUAGUCAGAGCCCGUUAAUGGGUGAUGGCGUGCCUUUUGUAGAAUGAACCGGCGAGUUACGAUUUGAUGCAAGGUUAAGCAGUAAAUGUGGAGCCGUAGCGAAAGCGAGUCUGAAUAGGGCGUUUAGUAUUUGGUCGUAGACCCGAAACCAGGUGAUCUACCCUUGGUCAGGUUGAAGUUCAGGUAACACUGAAUGGAGGACCGAACCGACUUACGUUGAAAAGUGAGCGGAUGAACUGAGGGUAGCGGAGAAAUUCCAAUCGAACCUGGAGAUAGCUGGUUCUCUCCGAAAUAGCUUUAGGGCUAGCCUCAAGUGAUGAUUAUUGGAGGUAGAGCACUGUUUGGACGAGGGGCCCCUCUCGGGUUACCGAAUUC